GUUAAUAACAAUGGGAUUUAUAAUUGCUCUCUUUUUAGAUAAUGACUGAAAAGCAUGAAUUCUCCUCCACUUGCCAGCUGAUGAAAAUCUGCAAUAUUGUUAAAAGAAGUAAGAGAUGGCAACCUUCGCAGAGUUUAAUUUUUCAGAAGAUACACCAAAUCCCUCUCUCCAAAUUGAUGGCGAAGCUUAGGAAUCUCAUCUUGAAUACCUUCAUAACUGCCAUGUUGAACAGCUUUAGGAAGAUAAGCGAAGGAAUAGAUGAAACCACUUAACAACUACAGCUGCUAUGGAAAGAAGGUCCAGAGCUCAAUUUUGCAACUACUGUGCCAUG